UAAGUUCCACGCAUCUCUUAAUUCUUAUACGUGUGUGACGAUCAUCCUGCUGACCGAUUGACUGUUGAUGCAAUUUGUUCAUUAUUUGGGCACUUUGUGUGCAAAAUUUCACCUAUAAUUUGGUAUUUUGAUUUCACAUCAGAUCUAUCACGAUUUUGCUACUUUGCACCAUAAUAGUAGUAGUUCUGCGAAGUACUGUACUACGAUACCAGAGAUCAGAGGAAGGUGGUUUCCCUCUCUCUAUGCCUAGUCGAUCCUGAUAUUCUGAUACUUUUUUUUCCUGGUUGCAGAACACCCACUGAAGUUCAGGAGAGAGUGCUUAAGGGAAGGAUGGACUGAUUUCGCAACACCUGUAGUCCUAGAUCACAUAGGAGAUUGUUCCUUUAUUCUCGACCUACUAAAACCUGUGUGAUCUGCUCUUUCUGUGCACUCGUGUUCAAACCUAUAACUUGGAUUUUAACAUGCCACUGAAGUCUGAAAUCUGAAAUCAAAAUCAUGUGUGCCUGUG
rnacentral:lncRNA from 1 species